CACAGACUGGAUGGAAGUCUUCAACCAUGGAAAUAGAUUUUCUCCCAGUUCUGGAGGCUGGAAGUCCCAGAUCAGGAGUGCUAGCAGUACACUUUAUGGGAGAAGUUACUUGCCAGCAUACAGUGGUUUCUGGCUUCUUUUCACACUGGCUUCUGAACACUAUUACAGCCUAAAGACUGACAAGUUUUCCAGUACUGAGAUUCUUUUCUAAAAUGAGUUCUACAGAUCUUUUUUAUGCAUGGCUGAAUAAAAGGAAAUGGAAAUAGGAGAUCACCAUUCUUCAUUCUCUUGCUCAAUUUCAGGUAAUAAAUUUCGCUCUGGACAUAUGGUUUCCAGCUACAGAAAACUCUCCACACUUCUCUGUGGCCAGGUGGGGCCACUUGACUUCAU